UAAUAGAGAGUGGCGAACGGGUGCGUAACGCGUAUGCAACCUACCCUAUACAGGGGGAUAGCCCGGAGAAAUCUGGAUUAAUACCCCAUAGUAUCAUUGAGCUGCAUGGUUUAAUGAUUAAAGAUUCAUCGGUAUAGGAUGGGCAUGCGUCUGAUUAGCUAGUUGGCGGUGUAACGGACCACCAAGGCUACGAUCAGUAGGGGUUCUGAGAGGAAGGUCCCCCACACUGGCACUGAGAUACGGGCCAGACUCCUACGGGAGGCAGCAGUAGGGAAUAUUGGGCAAUGGACGAGAGUCUGACCCAGCCAUGCCGCGUGCAGGAAGACGGCGUUCUGCGUUGUAAACUGCUUUUAUCUGGGAAGAAAAUGCCCCUGCGGGGGAAAUUGCCGGUACCAGAUGAAUAAGCACCGGCUAACUCCGUGCCAGCAGCCGCGGUAAUACGGAGGGUGCAAGCGUUGUCCGGAUUUAUUGGGUUUAAAGGGUGCGUAGGCGGCUAUUUAAGUCAGUGGUGAAAGACUCCGGCUCAACCGGAGCAGUGCCAUUGAUACUGGAUAGCUUGAGUAUUGGAGGGGUACAUGGAAUUGAUGGUGUAGCGGUGAA
rnacentral:rRNA from 1 species